GAAAAGAAAGCAAAAGCGAUUCCCGUAGUAGCGGCGAGCGAAAUGGGA
rnacentral:rRNA from 1 species